CUUGCCAUGCCCAGUCCUUGUCCUCUGCUUCUGGCUUCUGUUUAAUCAACAUGAUUCUUCACCUUCCUUGUUCCUGAGCUGGAGCCACCAUAAAGGGAGGUUGCAAGCAAAGAACACUUUCUGAGUCUCUACAAGCACAUCCCUGGAGACUCUCUCAUGAAUACCACCACUGACAGGCUUUUCCAUGCAGCACUACUGUGACCAACCAUUCCUUUUGGAGGGAAGAAGACUUGAGGGAGCAGAAACAGGAAGAUCUCUGGUGGUCUCUAACCAGUUCGUUUAGCCAGUCUGCAACCAACAAGUUCAUUGAGAGACCUGUAUCAAAAGAAAUAUGGGAGCCCAACCAUUUUGGAAUUUCCUUUCCUGAGGAACAAAUUGAGUGAGUCUGUUACAGGGAGUGGCAAGCUCAGAGAUCAUUGUGGAUAUUCUGAAUCCUAUCUCCUGUUUUUUUUGGUAAGUAAAAUAAAAAAGACUGUAUCUGCCCCUCCUAAGGCCUCCUGGUCAAAAGAAUGGCUUUGGGCAGAGACAUGAGAUUCUGAUCUGCAAAAAUCAGAACAUUACAUACGUCAAGGUUUCAAAAGUUUGAAAUGAGAGCAUAAAAUUUCUGAGCUUCUAAGACUCCAGGUUUUGAUACAGUUGGACAUAAAGGUCCCACUUCCCAGUGCCUUGUAGAGUGAAUCCAGCUUGACUGGUUGGUAAGCAAGUCAGGAGUCUACCCUUCUUGGGAAGCUGAUUUAUCUGAAGCCAUUCUAAUGAGAUGGGAGGAAUAAUUAUCCCCUUAAUGAGAUAGUAUAGUACCCUUCCUAGAGGCUGCUCCUUGUGGAAGUGGCUUACAGAGCAACACUGUUAAGCCUGUCUUAUUUUCUGAAUUCAAACUUAGAAAUCUCUCUCU